CUGACGCGGACAUCCAGGGAGUUUCUCCCUGGCUCUGUCGCUGUGGCGUAUGGGAGCGUAGCCUCGUGCUAUGACGUACAUUCCCUUUCCACCGCGUCGCAGAAAGAGUUGCGUCCCCGACUUUUGUCGGUGAGGAUGAACGUCCAGCAUAUUCCUACAACUUCCCAGAGUCCUUUUGGGGCCAUGACUGGGGAGCCAAACCAUGCAGUGCACAUUU